UAGGGAAUCUUCGGCAAUGGACGGAAGUCUGACCGAGCAACGCCGCGUGAGUGAAGAAGGUUUUCGGAUCGUAAAGCUCUGUUGUAAGAGAAGAACGAGUGUGAGAGUGGAAAGUUCACACUGUGACGGUAUCUUACCAGAAAGGGACGGCUAACUACGUGCCAGCAGCCGCGGUAAUACGUAGGUCCCGAGCGUUGUCCGGAUUUAUUGGGCGUAAAGCGAGCGCAGGCGGUUAGAUAAGUCUGAAGUUAAAGGCUGUGGCUUAACCAUAGUAGGCUUUGGAAACUGUUUAACUUGAGUGCAAGAGGGGAGAGUGGAAUUCCAUGUGUAGCGGUGAAAUGCGUAGAUAUAUGGAGGAACACCGGUGGCGAAAAGCGGCUCUCUGGCUUGUAACUGACGCUGAGGCUCGAAAGCGUGGGGAGCAAACAGGAUUAGAUACCCUGGUAGUCCACGCUGUAAACGAUGAGUGCUAGGUGUUAGACCCUUUCCGGGGUUUAGUGCCGUAGCUAACGCAUUAAGCACUCCGCCUGGGGAGUACGACCGCAAGGGUUG
rnacentral:rRNA from 1 species